AUUUUUUCCUGAACAUAUACUAAAAUUGAAACAAUACAGAGAAGAUUAGCGUGGCCCCAUGGCAAGGAUAACACGCAAAUGCUGAGAAAUAUGGUUCAAUAUU
rnacentral:snRNA from 1 species